rnacentral:lncRNA from 1 species
GGGGGGGGGGGGGGGGGGGGGGGGGGGGGGGGGGGGGGGGGGGGGGGGGGGUCAUUGGUCACGUGGUUCAGCAGCCUUUUUUUUUUAACAAACAAAAAAACCUAAAUUCUUCUCCGAAACAGAUCGAGGCGAAUCUUUACAUGUAUGAUCGCCUAUCCAUGAGGAACAAAAAGUUAUCCACCGAUGAUAGGUUACAUGGUUCGGCAGCUAUGAAUUUUUGAACAAUGAACCUUUUUACAUAAACCUCCUCCAGAAUGGCUUGACAGAUCGAAGGGAAACUUCACCCACAUGUUCCCCAAGCUUGGGGAUACCAGAGUGUUCACAAAUAAUUAAUAAGUCACAUGAUCUGGCAGCCAUAUUGGAAUGAAGCAAAACCUUGAAAAAAAUUAUUUCUCUUGAACCACUUCAUCAAACGACGUGAAACUACACUAUUAUGAUCCAGUAGUCGUGGGGAAGAUACAUGUUUUAAAUUUCACCCUGAUUGGACACAUGGUCUGGCAGCAACAUAUAUUUAAUGUUUUGAAUCUCAUUUCAGGGAUUUAAAUCAAACUUGGUACAAGUAUGUACAACUAGCAAACUUGGUACAAGUAUGUACAACUUCACUUUGAUGAAGGGAAUGUUAAAGGGGGGAGAGAAAGGGGGAGGGAGGGAUAGUGGACGGAGGUGAGGAGACAAGGACGGAGGACGGAGGUGAGGGCACGAGGACGGAGGACGGAGGUGAGGGCACGAGGACGGAGGACGGAGGACGGAGGACGGAGGACGGAGGACGGAGGCGAGGGCACGAGGACGGAGGCGAGGGCACGAGGGCGGAGGACGGAGGUGAGGGCACGAGGACGGAGGACAGAGGUGAGGGCACGAGGACGGAGGACGGAGGACGGAGGACGGAGGACGGAGGACGGGGGACGAGGGGACAGAGGAUGGAGGGACGAGAAGACGAGGGUACGAGGGUACGAGGACGAGGGGACGAGGAGGGAGGACAGGGGACGGAGGACGGGGGACGGAGGACAGAGGACGGAGGGGAGGGAACGAGGAUGGAGGAGAGGGAACGAGGACGGAGGGGAGGAGAGGGCAUAAGGACGGAGGAGGGAGGGGAGGGCAUGGAACGCGGACGGAGGGGAGGGCAGGAGGACGGAGGACGGAGGAGAGGGCAUAAGGACGGAGGAGGGAG